rnacentral:rRNA from 1 species
UACGUAGGUGGCAAGCGUUGUCCGGAUUUAUUGGGUUUUAAAGGGUGCGUAGGCGGCCCUGUAAGUCAGUGCUGAAAUAUCCCGGCUUAACCGGGAGGGUGGCAUUGAUACUGCAGGGCUUGAGUAAAGUUGAGGUAGGCGGAAUUGACGGUGUAGCGGUGAAAUGCUUAGAUAUCGUCAAGAACACCGAUAGUGUAGACAGCUUACUAAGCUUAACU